rfam:Ornithorhynchus anatinus chromosome 1, whole genome shotgun sequence.
CCCUUUUCAGGAUUGCACCUGGAGAGUUUCCAAUACUCUACCAGUCUUGACUACAGGAGGGAGAGUCAAGCAGAGGCAUACUCAUUCCAUUCCUAGCUUGGACAGUGGCUAGCGAGGGAGGGCAAUCUGCUACAAGU